GGGUGCGAUCAUACCAGCACUAAUGCACCGGAUCCCAUCAGAACUCCGCAGUUAAGCUUGCUUGGGCGAGAGUAGUACUAGGAUGGGUGACCUCCUGGGAAGUCCUCGUGUUGCACCCC
rfam:Gossypium raimondii scaffold_136_contig_4, whole genome shotgun sequence.